UGACCUCAGACAGGUAAGAGCACCCGCUGAACUUAAGCAUAUCAAUAAGCGGAGGA
rnacentral:rRNA from 1 species